ACCAUACUGAACUACAUAAAGAACAUGAUCAGGUUUGUUCAGUAUCUGAAGACCCACCUCAACUUGUCUGCAUCAGAUGCUGACUUCUACAGGAAGUGCCAAGCCUACAUCGACCUCCUCGGUUCCCUCAGAAAGCCAGUGGCCUAGUCGAACAGCAAGGUCACUUGUAAAACCAGGUAUGACCGGUUCCUUGAGGGUGAGAAGAGCCUUCAGGAGUGCCAGGCAGUCCUCCGGAAGGCCAAGACUGACAUGCUACUACAGAGUGGGAUGAAAGAAAAAAUUCUGGGGGAAAGGUGUGUGUGGCUGUCAGCGAAACACAAGAAUGCGACAAUGCAGAUCGCUGUGUUUGCCCUGACAAUGGAGGAGGGAGCA